rnacentral:rRNA from 1 species
GACGAACGCUGGCGGCGUGCCUAAUACAUGCAAGUCGAACGCAGUGGGGACGGGUGAGUAACACGUGGUUAACCUCCCAUCAGAGGGGAUAACACUUGGAAACAGGUGCUAAACCGAUACUGAUGGAUGAACCCGCAGUGCAUUAGCUAGUGGGUGAGGUAACGGCUCACCAAGGCCACGAUGCAUAGCGGGCCUGAGAGGAUGAUCGGCCACACGGGGACUGAGACACGGACCAGACUCCUACGGGAGGCAGCAGUAGGGAAGCUGCGGCAAUGGACGAAAGUCUGACCGAGCAAUGCCGCGGGAGUGAAGAAGGUUUUCGGGUCGUAAAACACUGUUGUUAGAGAAGCGGUAUCUAACCAGAAAGCCACGGCUAACUACGUGCCAGCAGCCGCGGUAAUAC